GAGAACUAUUCCUUUGUCUGACCCUUUUGUUCCAAGAGCUGUAACACUUGGGAAGAGAUCUUCUCUCCUGAAGAGCCACGCCCAAGUUCUGCCACUUUCCUCACUGGCCGACUCAGGUUCGAAGUUACUGAGCGACCAGGAAGGCCUGGCAGAGGCUUCAUCUGUCUCAGUGUCUGCACUUACUUCCCUCUCUGGGGCCUUCCCACCUGGCCUGGAUAGAGGUCUCCUUGGAAAACUUCUGGUACCUAGGCCCACACACCUAUUCAUAGGAUAGGAAAAUAUGACUAUAUUAUUAUAUGGUUAGCCUUGGGUAUCAUAUGUAACACACUAGAAAUAUGCUUUAGUUCCUGCCAGUAUCAACUUAUGGGUUUUUCUCUGCGUUCAGAAAUGAAAAAAAUAUUCUUGCCUUUGUGUCCAAGAUAAUGAGCUGCUCCAGUUCUCAGACUCUCUCCUAACAAUGUGUUCUUCCAACACAACCAUUGAUGUGAACUUAUCAUUUUAUCUCAUUUUCUCUCGGACUGAAAUAAUGAAUUACUUGAUUUGAGUCUCUUGCCCGCUUUAAUCUUUUGUAUACAGGAACAAUUCCUGUAAUGUACAGUCCAUAUCAAAGACUUCUGAAGGUGCUUUACAGCUUUCUUAGAUGCUCUGCAAAGUUCUGCUUCAGCACUUUGCCUUUCAAGUCGUGAUUCUCUCUGAAAUCAGAAUUCACCAUUUGGACUCACUGCUCACUAGUCUGUGACUAACAUUUCUUUUCACUUUGUCAUCUUAGACAAACAGGUCCAAAGUUAACGAGAUUCUGCCCCUAAACUCCUUAGAAAUAACUAGACCUCAUGAAGAAUUGCACCUGAUUUUCAUUUACUGGCCGGCCACUUCACAGCUUCUCUUGGGUCCUCCAUUCCAGAUUCCUUUAUUCUUUCUCGCCUCGACAAGAGUUGGGGGUGGUCAAGGACUAGGGAUACCUGGUUGGUGAAUAAGAAAACACUUCAAUUGAAAUACAAUUUUUUUCUUUUGGUAUGGGGACUUUUGAACUCAGGAUUCAGGGUCCUCACCUAGACUUGACUCAGCCCCAGUCUUUUAUUGAAAUCAUACAAAGAAGUUAGGUUUCAAAAUUCGGGGGGGAGUGGUAAUGUGUCUCUAUUUUCCAGUGAGAACAUUUUCUUGUGACACAGAGUAGUACAGAUUUAGAAAAGAAAAAGGUAAUUAUACAAUCUUAGACAUAAAAAUUUUACAGCAAACAAAAUUUUUUUUUAUAUCUUCUGACCACCAGUCUCCAGUGAGGUCAGGAGCAGUACUAUUGCAGUUACAAAAUCAGUAUCUUUCAGACAUAUGUGAGACAAUACAGUUUCAUAAAAGGGCAAGCAUGAGGUCAUACUACUGACUAUGCAGUCUUUAUAAUUUUUGGACCCCAUCUGUCUGUCUACCAAAACAUCCUUACCUAACCUGUAUGGAGAAGUCUUAGGGGGCUACUACCAUCGUCCUUAAAUCCAAGGAACCUAUUGCUAACUUUCUGGGAAAUAUCUGUAUAUUAUUCCAUCCUCAAUUUCAUGAUAAAAAUAUCCUAUUUUUAUUAUACAGAAUUGAGACAAAGACUAGGGGAACAUCUGCAGAAUUGCUCAUCUCUGCCUGCGGCUCUAGGUUACUUUUAUUUCUACCUAGAGCGAGUCACUGUAACAUAGGUUUCUCUUGAAUUCACAAAAAGCCUUCACUUUAAUAUUAUUGGUAACAUCUAGUGUCUGGAUACCAAGCGGGUUCUACUAGGUCUUUCAUUGUCACCAAAUACUAGUUAAAUCAAGGAAGGAAGAAAUAGAAGGAACAGUAAAUAGAUAAAGGUAAUGAUAAAUACUAAGGAUAAUUGCAAAAAUGAUAUCACAAAGUGCUUGUGCCAAAGAAACCAGCCUUGGGACCUCUCAUUACUCAUACUGGGGCCCACAAGAGGUCAUAGCCUCAUGCUCUGUAACACAGUACCCCCAGAAGAUUUUUCUUCCUUGUAAUCAGGGGGGCCCAGGAAACUCAAGCUUAAUGUAGGGCAUCUUCAACAUUCCCAUACCCUGACUUCUUCCCAUACCUGCUUUUCCCCAAGUCUGCGUUAUUGGUAAAAUAACUGAUACUUAUUUCAUAAUUUAGAUUUAUGCUCAUGCUAAGUAAAAUAAUGACUGAAAAUUUGUAUCCAAUCACCUACUGCUAGUGGUACCUACUCAAAUCAGUUUCUUCAAUGCAGGUUUCUUAAAAUUCAUUUCAGUAUAAUAGGAUAGUUAGAACAAAUUUGCUCUGCUUGUUCCUAGGAAUUGAAUUCUAUUUUGUUUCUGAUAUAUGCAUAUAUUUUUUCUCAAUGUAAUUAACAAAACUUACUGAAUUCAAAAUUCCAUGCCACCUAAAUACACAAACAAUUUCAGUGGUAAGAGUCUACUUUCUUUCUAUGGUCCAGAUUAAUCUAUUUGACCAUUCAGGAAUCAACAGGUUCUUGACUCUGAAAUCAGCCAUUCAUUAGGAAAUGUCAUAAAAUGAUGCUUUAUUAUAAACACUUGUCAACAUUCCUGAUAUGUUCCCACCUGAAGUAUUUCCCAGGCCUAUCAGUAAUUCUAUGUCAUAAAUAGUGAGCUCUUAGAAAUCCCUCUCAUGUGAAAAAAGGGGAAAUUGACCUUAAUCAAAAUCUUUCUGUAUUUCUAUAAUCUUUAGUUGCACAAAUGUCACACACUGUCAAGACAGCAAAAGUUCUCCUCCCUUUUCCAUGAUGGUUCUGGAAUAUAGCUAUUCAUACAUAGCAGACAGGAUUGAGUAAAAUGGAUAUUUUUUUUAAAAAAAACUACUUUUAAGCUAGGGUGAAUUGAAAAUCAUCAACUUAGUAUUAUGUUGCUUAAAGGAGAAAAAAAAUCAAACAACAAUUUCACAAAAUUCUUUGUUUAAAAAGACAUGAUUUUGGUGAUACCUU
rnacentral:lncRNA from 1 species